ensembl:miRNA MIR24-2 microRNA 24-2
ACUGAGCUGAAACACAGUUGGUUUGUGCACACUGGCUCAGUUCAGCAGGAACAGGA